ACGAUUUCUUCUUGUCCACGUGUGGAGUGUUCACGAAGACAGGUUUUUUGAUGGUGGCCGUUGUUGGGUGGUGAGUGGAGUUGAGAAAAGGGUCUCUCUGGCACGUAAAAAUCAAAUCGAAAAUUUUAGACACUCACUCUUCUCUUCUCUAAUCACUUUCCACUCAUUAAAGGGAUUGUGAAAUUGAAGUGCUCGAUGACAACAGCAUACCCCAAACCCUCGGAGAUUCUGUGGAAGAAGGAGCUCUGCAACUCUGUCAGCCUCAUCGGCGUGGUGGCCGCGGCCGUCGAACUCAAACACCUCCCCUCCGGCAAGGUGGUGGCCUGGACCCGCCUCUCCAUCAAGAAGAACGCCACGCAAGCGUCCUCCAUAAGCUUCACUUUCUAGGACGAAGAGCCUCUCCGAUUUCUACAUUUAAGUGAAAAUCACAGUGAGGAAAUCUUCUACAUUUAUAGCUAAGGCGGUGAAAAUCAAACCUUUUUAUUGAUGUCUAUUACAUCUUCUUAUGCCAACUUUAGUUCCAUUCACUGUACUUCUUGCUAGUUGCAAAAAUUGCUAUUUAGUAUAAAUUAUUCAUUUGAUGGUUAUACUUCUUCCAUUUUAAAUUUUAGUCCAUGUAUCAGAUUUUUUUUUAAUCCCUGUACAUGCAUGUUUCUCUAAGUUUUAAUCCCUGUAUAUAGGACAUGAAGUUGUUAAAAUCAAAAUUGUUCUUAUAACAUGAUAGUGCUAUUUGCUUUACUGGUGAUUAUUAAAACCGCUUAAAUGGUAAGUUUAUUCUUAUGGUAUUCUAAUAGAUAUUAUAGUUUCUCGCCUCUACUUAUUUUAUUAUUGAAUUUAGAUUUAGGGUUGAUUGGUGUUUGGAUGUUGUUCUUGUGCAGGUGUUUGAUUCGAUAUGCGAUGGCUGGGGCUUGCAAGAUAUUAGGAAAACAACUAUAUAUCUAAUACAAUUAGAUAUAUAAAUUCUGUGUGCCGUGAAUUAGUUCUUAUGAAAAUAAUUUUGGAUUCUUCUGUAGUGCAAUUUGUUUAUUUAUUCCAUGGAUAUUUCUGGAGAAAUCAAAGAUGGAUGAACAUGGACCAUGGAACUUCCCAAAAAUUAAAAUAUUAAUAUUAUGUAUAUAAUAUUGAGUUUCUUCAAAUGAAUAAUAGGACUCGCCUCCCGUUCUUCCAAAGUCUGGUUAGAUCUUGCACUGUAGUAAUCUCAUUUUAAUAAUUAGUAGUGUCUCCCAUUUCAAAACUCCUGUGCUUUUUGAACAGACUCCAAUUUGCAUGCAUUUCAAUAAUUUUGAUUGUUAUUUUAGCUGCUAUUUAUACCAAAUAUAUGGUAAAGUUUGUUACUUAUUAUCUUUAUUGUACACAUUCAUGAUUCUCAAAUCCUUUUCAUUUAUAUUUUUCUGUAGAUGUGUUGUGAGUGGAUUUGGAAAGAUUGCAAUGCAUGUUUUAGAUAAGCUUGUUGCUUAUGGCGCUCUUUCCAUCUCAGUAUCAGAUUCAAGAGGAUAUUUGGUUGAUGAAGAUGGAUUUGACUAUAUGAAAAUAUCCUUUUUAAGAGAUAUCAAAGCUCAACAAAGAAGUUUGAGCUGGGAAAAGGUGACUGGAGGGGAAUCUCUAGAAACUAUGUGACUACAAGAACUCCAACACAAGUGGCUAGCCAUGCUCAUAAGUACUUUAUUUGGCUUGCAACCAUGAAUAAGAAAAAGAGACGUUCAAGUCUUUUUGAGUUGUUUCUGCGGGUCUUGAUUUUCUCCAGUUCUGUAACCUCAACAGUUUCAGAACCAAAUUCGUGUUGGGCUUCUCAUUCUUCCUUGGCAUCUCCAUUCCACAAUAUUUCAUAGAAUACUAUGUAAAGCAUCAAGUUGGAUGGGUGAGAUCUCUGAACGUAAACCAAUCAUUGAAGUUUAAUUCACAAUGAGCUCAAUGAUAUGAUUUGUGUGAUCUUCAUGUCGCACACGACGGUGGCAGCAUUUAGUUGCAUUUGUUUUGGACAUCACACUCUCACGUGAUGAUGAAGAAGCUCGCAAGGACUAUGGUUUGCCAUGAUGACUAUUUUAGAAGAAACAAAAGAAUGUGAUGUACAAGAAGAGUUCCACGUACAACAUAAAGGACAUGUUACUUUCAUGAUAUAUGUUAAGUUUUUGAUUCACUCAUUUUUUUCACAGGAAAUGGGGAAAAUGCUUGACAAUAAAGAAGUUAGGCUUUCCAAGGAACCACCUUUAUGUAAUGAAACAAUUACUGUUGUUGUUCGAAUGCCAGAUGGUCAUCGGUCAUCGUCUUAAACAUCGCUUUCUCAAAUAGAUAGUGAGGAUUGUAUGUUUGGUGGAUAUUAUGUGUAGUUUUAAAAAUUUAAAAAAUUUAAUUACUUAAUUUUCAUGUUAUUAUAUAGUGUAUGUUGACUUUUUGCAUAAUAGUUUAACAGAAUAAA